UUGAAAGGGAAACGAUUGAAGUCAGUCGUGCUGUGGCGAGCCUCAAAACCGCCAUAGUUUGUGCUAUCCUACCGGCCUCGUGCACUUUCGCGUGGGCUGGUUAACAUCAAUUUCGACCGUCAUAAAAAGGCUGGAGGGAUGUGGCUCCUUCGGGAGUGUUAUAACCUUUUGCGGAAUGUGGUGGUCGGGAUUGAGGCUUGCAACGGAUACCUUCGGGGCUGUUCCACCUGGCCUCUCAUCGGCAUCCUGGCGGCGACAGCUUGCUGACGUUGUUAGGAUUCAGCCUUCGAACAGGCUAGAGUGUGAGCAAAUUCGUUAAGGAUGUUGACGUA
rnacentral:rRNA from 1 species